rnacentral:rRNA from 1 species
GACGGUCUUGCUGUCACUUAUAGAUGGAUCCGCGCUGCAUUAGCUAGUUGGUAAGGUAACGGCUUACCAAGGCAACGAUGCAUAGCCGACCUGAGAGGGUGAUCGGCCACACUGGAACUGAGACACGGUCCAGACUCCUACGGGAGGCAGCAGUAGGGAAUCUUCCGCAAUGGGCGAAAGCCUGACGGAGCAACGCCGCGUGAGUGAUGAAGGUCUUCGGAUCGUAAAACUCUGUUAUUAGGGAAGAACAUAUGUGUAAGUAACUGUGCACAUCUUGACGGUACCUAAUCAGAAAGCCACGGCUAACUACGUGCCAGCAGCCGCGGUAAUACGUAGGUGGCAAGCGUUAUCCGGAAUUAUUGGGCGUAAAGCGCGCGUAGGCGGUUUUUUAAGUCUGAUGUGAAAGCCCACGGCUCAACCGUGGAGGGUCAUUGGAAACUGGAAAACUUGAGUGCAGAAGAGGAAAGUGGAAUUCCAUGUGUAGCGGUGAAAUGCGCAGAGAUAUGGAGGAACACCAGUGGCGAAGGCGACUUUCUGGUCUGUAACUGACGCUGAUGUGCGAAAGCGUGGGGAUCAAACAGGAUUAGAUACCCUGGUAGUCCACGCCGUAAACGAUGAGUGCUAAGUGUUAGGGGGUUUCCGCCCCUUAGUGCUGCAGCUAACGCAUUAAGCACUCCGCCUGGGGAGUACGACCGCAAGGUUGAA